rnacentral:rRNA from 1 species
UACGGAAGGGGCAAGCGUUGUUCGGAAUCAUUGGGCGUAAAGGGCGCGCAGGUGGUUCUGUAUGUCUACCGUGAAAGCGUACGGCUCAACCGUAUUUUGUCGGUAGAAACUGCAGGACUUGGGGCUGGGAGGGGCUGGUGGAAUUCCCUGUGUAGCGGUGAAAUGCGUAGAGAUGGGGGAGAACACUCGUGGCGAAGGCGGCCAGCUAGACCAGUUCUGACACUGAGGCGCGACAGCGUGGGGAGCAAACAGG